rnacentral:lncRNA from 1 species
AAUUAAUUCACAGGUCUUUGGUCAAACUACUGACGUUUAGGACAAAUUAACAAGAACUACGUUGUUACAGCUGGUCUAAACACUUUGUUCAGCAGUAAGACACCAACUAAUAUUAAGACUGACUCACCUUAAUCAAUCUAUCAUUUCCAGUAAAGAGAAAGACAGAGAGCAAAGGAAGAAACAGAAAUCUUAAGUCCUCAGACAAAACGACGAACAAAAAUUAAAUCAACGGUAUGACAAGAACCCAACCAUAAACCGGGGAUUAACUUUGAUACUCUUACAGUUGGCAGUUCUUUCUCACUACGCGGUAACCAACGUUCAGCUCGUGAAAUUGUGUCAUAUUUUUAAACGUCACAUUCAAGGAGAACAUGACGGGAUAUUGUAGUUAUCUACUAUCAUAUACCCGUGGAUAUAGAGAUUUAAACACCGUGACGGACUCUAUUUAAAAAUGAGGCGAAGCCGAAGUAUCCAAGUGAAAACUGAGUAUUGUUAAAAUCUCUGUGGAUUAAAGGUUGUAUAUAAAAAGUAUCUCCGGUCUUAGUUCUUAUUUAUCAAAUUUUAUGACCCUGAACCUUCACGAAAAGUAACGUUAAACAACAUUAUUUAUUAAAAAUCACAUUUUAUACAUAUAUCAGACCGUUUGACUAUAUUCACGGUUUUUCAUCGUUGACGGUGGUUUGAUAAUGUAUAAUUAUCUUUCUUAUUAGCUGCAAUUCACGUCAUUAGGACUCUGGAGCUAGCUGUCUCAUUAACAACCACGUCUUAUUUUGUAGCCAAUUCUAGGUCAAGCGAGAAUAAUAUGAAGCAUGUUUUUACAAUGUGAAACAGUGUCCUUAAAACUAUCAAUCUCAGGUUUUACUUCUCAUGUUGAUAUUAUUAGAUUUUAAUAUUAUGUUUUAAUAUCAAUUCACGCAAGAAGUAAAUAUGUAUCCUUUAG